GACGAACGCUGGCGGCGUGCUUAACACAUGCAAGUCGAACGGAAAGGCCCUGCUUUUGUGGGGUGCUCGAGUGGCGAACGGGUGAGUAACACGUGAGUAACCUGCCCUUGACUUUGGGAUAACUUCAGGAAACUGGGGCUAAUCCCGGAUAGGAGCUCCUUCUGCAUGGUGGGGGUUGGAAAGUUUCGGCGGUUGGGGAUGGACUCGCGGCUUAUCAGCUUGUUGGUGGGGUAGUGGCUUACCAAGGCUUUGACGGGUAGCCGGCCUGAGAGGGUGACCGGCCACAUUGGGACUGAGAUACGGCCCAGACUCCUACGGGAGGCAGCAGUGGGGAAUAUUGCACAAUGGGCGGAAGCCUGAUGCAGCAACGCCGCGUGCGGGAUGACGGCCUUCGGGUUGUAAACCGCUUUCGCCUGUGACGAAGCGUGAGUGACGGUAAUGGGUAAAGAAGCACCGGCUAACUACGUG
rnacentral:rRNA from 1 species